GUAUCACAGACAUGAGGUGACUGAUUUUCUCUGACCUGCAGGUGAUCGUUGUGUCUAUGAGACACUCAGAAGAUGUGAAAACACUGAAAAUGGUCCAGCAGAAGGUGAUUACACCAAUGUCACAUCUGUGAUUCAGCUCAAAGUCGUUAACAAGACAAGGCAACGUGGUGACCCAGAGGAGAGCUCUGACUACAAUGAUGUCAAUCCAAUUUCAGCCACAGCUCUAAAAUCUUAACAGCAGCUCUUUAGCUGUUUUUCUCUUUUUCUCUUUAAUGUCUCUUAAAAACUCGAAGUGACUUUGAGUGAAAAGGUGAAGAUUUUGAAUUCGAAGCAAUGAUCCUGACAGAGUUUAUGUGUCCUUCAGAAAGAAUCGCUCAGUGUGUUUCGCUUGUUUCUUUCCCAUUAGAUAAUAAUUUUAAUGGACUUUAAUGGACUGUAGAUCUGUCUAUCUUUUUAGCUAUUUCUCUGAUUUUAACAGAUUAUG